rnacentral:lncRNA from 1 species
UCGGCGUAUCAAUAACUCCUGCUAUUGGUGCGGAAGCACCCAACACCUUAUAAAGGAUUGCCCUAAGUGACCAAAGGAUGUAGCCGGACUUGUAGCACAAGAUCGAGUGUACCACUUAGAUGAAUUUGAUGCCCUUUCUGCUCUUAUUCUCAUCUAGUUAUGCUUUCUAUUCAUAAUACUUCUGCCAAGGAUUUGAUCGAUACUGGUGCAGCUCAUUCUUUGAUUUCCUAUGCAUUUGCUUGUAAUCUAGAGUUUAAACCAGAAGUUUUAGAAAAAAUACUAAUGGUGGAAACUUCCUCUAAAGGACUAUUAGAAGCUCAUUGUGUAUAUAAGGACUGUAGGAU